rnacentral:rRNA from 1 species
UACGAGCGCACCCUUGUCCUUAUUUGCCAGCACAUUAUGGUGGGAACUCUAAGGAGACUGCCGGUGACAAACCGGAGGAAGGUGGGGACGACGUCAAGUCAUCAUGGCCCUUACGGCCUGGGCUACACACGUGCUACAAUGGGGCGUACAGAGGGCUGCCAAGCCGCGAGGUGGAGCUAAUCCCUUAAAACGUCUCGUAGUCCGGAUUGAAGUCUGCAACUCGACUUCAUGAAGUCGGAAUCGCUAGUAAUCGCGAAUCAGAAUGUCGCGGUGAAUACGUUCCCGGGCCUUGUACACACCGCCCGUCACACCAUGGGAGUGGGUUGCAAAAGAAGUGGGUAGACUAACCUUCGGGAGGUCGCUCACCACUUUGUGAUUCAUGACUGGGGUGAAGUCGUAACAAGGUAGCCGUAGGGGAACCUGCGGCUGGAUCA